GUGAGGAAUUUUCCGCAAUGGGCGAAAGCCUGACGGAGCAAUGCCGCGUGAAGGAUGAAGGCCUAUGGGUUGUAAACUUCUUUUCUCAGAAAAGAAUUAUGACGGUAUCUGAGGAAUAAGCAUCGGCUAACUCUGUGCCAGCAGCCGCGGUAAGACAGAGGAUGCAAGCGUUAUCCGGAAUGAUUGGGCGUAAAGCGUCUGUAGGUUGUUUAAAAAGUAUUCUGUCAAAGAUUAGGGCUUAACCCUAGAUAGGCAGAAUAAACUUUUAAGCUAGAGUGUGGUAGAAGCAGAGGGAAUUCCCGGUGGAGCGGUGAAAUGCGUAGAUAUCGGGAGGAACACCAAAGGCGAAGGCACUCUGCUGGGCCAAUCCUAACACUGAGAGACGAAAGCGAGGGGAGCAAAUGGGAUUAGAAACCCGUGUAGUCC
rnacentral:rRNA from 1 species